rnacentral:lncRNA from 7 species
GCAACUCUUGGCAACGCUAUUCUUCUGCAUUCACGUGUGUUAGAGGAUUGUGCGACGUCGUAGGCAAGAUUCUUGUGUUGCCGAUUGCCGUCGAGCUGCGCAUUCCGGCAGCCGGCACCAGCAUCUUAGAUUGUUGAAAAUAGUCCCACAUUAUGUCGUGAGGGUGGGCAAACAUGGUUUAUAUGGUUGAGGUUGCAACCCCUAAUAGGCUAGCUUUUGGGGGUGUUGACCCAAGAGACCUAAAGUCCGCUGCUAUGCGUGCGGGCGCGUGUGUCGCGGACCGACGGUCUGGGUGGGCACGUCGUGUGUGCAGGCGGCCCGACGGACACGCCAAGUGUUAGAGGUCCGGUUCCAACAAUUCGUAUCAAAGCCAGGUUGACCCAGUAUAUUCUCAGACAAAUCUCGGCUCAAAAUGUGUGAGGGGGAGAUUGUUGGGAAUAGUCCCACAUUAUGUAGUGAGAGUGGGAAAGUAUGGUUUAUAUGGCUGAGGGUGCAACCCCAAACAUGCUAGCUU